rnacentral:lncRNA from 1 species
AGUUUCUUUGCAGAGAACUAUGGGAGAUGUAGGUCAAGACCAAGCGGCCAUAAACGCUCAGCUCUUAGCUGACAAUGAAGAACUGAGGGCGAGCCUUAGGACUAUCACCGCCGAGCUUGCUCAGAUACGGCAGGGAGGCAGGCCCAACGGACCUCGACCACCAGGAAGGCAUCAGCCGGACCCGCAUGACACUGACUCGGACGCGGACAGUACCGAUGAUACGCGCAGUCAGGACGAGGAGAGGCCGAACCGGGGAGGUAGGAGGAACGCGCGAGGACCCCGGGCCCAAGUAGGAGGAGGCCGCGACCAUAGGGGAGGUCGAGACCGAGAGGAGGAAGAGCCUUGGUUGGGAGGCAAGGCGCUUAAGCUUCAUCCCCCAACGUUUGCGGCAAGGUUGAUCCGGAUGCCUACAUCGUGUGGGAGAAGCGCAUGGAGUACAUCUUCGACUAUUAUCAAUAUAGUGAGGCCAAGAAGGUUGCCCUAGCAGCAGCCCAGCUGACGGACAAUGCUCUUUCGUGGUGGGAUCGAGACGUUGCUAAGUCCGGGCCAGUGUGGAGAGCGCGUAAUUGGACCGAGAUGCGGACCAAGCUUCGCGCGAGGUACAUUCCAUCUUACUACCAGCGUGAUGUGCUAAAACGUUUUCGUAAACUUACGCAGGGAACUAAGACUGUGGAGGAGUACUUUGAGGAGUUCGAGGCACUUAGGAAUAAGCUUGAGACCGACGAGCCCGAGGAGACAAUGAUGUCCCAAUUCCUGGAAGGGCUGCAAGACCGCAUUGCCCGCAAGGUGGAGAGACAACACUAUGAAGACUUCAACGAUCUAUUGCACUUUGCUACGCAAGCCGAGCAGCACAUCAAGCGCAAGACGGCCAGUACCAGCCGCAGCAAACCUGCUUGGACUCAACCGGGUUCAAAACAAGGCGACAAGGGCAAGACGAUUGAGAUUGAGAGCCGAUUCAAGACCAACCAGGCUGAAUCGUCUAAUGCAUCUAAGCCGGAGCAGGGUAAGACUCAAGCCCAAAAUUUGCGUACUCGUGACAUCAUUUGUUAUAAGUGUCAGGGCAAAGGCCACUACGCUCGGGAUUGUCCAAACAAACGAGUGAUGGUCCUAAAGGGGGAUGGCGAGUAUGAAUCCCAAGAUGAGGCAGAGGCCGCGGCCGCGAUCUCUGAUGAAGAAGUAACCGACUACCCGGAGAUAGGCGAGCUGCUAGUGACCCGGAGAGCUCUUGGCACCCUCUUUGACCCAGAGACCAUCCAGCGGGAGAACAUCUUCCACACCAGAUGUAGUGUUGAUCACAAGGUAUGUAGUUUGAUCAUAGAUGGCGGAUCUUGUACUAACGUGGCUAGCAAGUAUCUUGUUGAUAAGCUAGGGUUGGUCAAAACUGCCCAUCCUCGACCAUACCGUCUCAAAUGGCUCAAUGAUGAGACUGAGCUCAAGAUUGCCGAACAAGUUGUUGUGUCCUUCAGUAUUGGCAAGUACCAAGACCAGGUCAAGUGUGAUGUUGUGCCCAUGCAAGCCGGCCAUAUACUUCUCGGAAGGCCGUGGCAGUUUGACAAGGAGACACUUCACCAUGGCCGCACCAACAUCUACAGUUUCGUCCACAACAACAAGAAGCACAGCCUAGCACCUCUCAGCCCUCAAGAAGUUCAUGAUAUGCAGAAGGCAAUGACGCAGUCCGGCCAGGUAAGUAACACUAACCUUUACAUGACUUCCGGACAAGUGCUUAAAUCAUUACAACGUGAGACACAGGUGCUACUAAUGAUCUUUAAGGAAGGUUGUUUUGCAGGUUUAGAAGCUCCUGAAGUACCGGACGUAGUACAAGACCUCAUGGGACGUUACAAGGAUGUCUUCCCUGACGAGAUCCCUGCCGGUUUACCCCCUAUCCGUGGCAUAGAACAUCAGAUCGAUCUUGUACCCGGCGCGCCACUACCAAACCGAGCCGCUUACCGUGUCAAUCCUGAGGAAGCUAAGGAGCUGGAACGGCAGGUCCAAGAUCUCAUGGACAAAGGCUACAUCCGCGAGAGCCUUAGCCCCUGUGCUGUCCCGGUCCUACUAGUGCCUAAGAAAGAUGGGACAUGGCGCAUGUGUGUGGACUGCCGAGCCAUCAACAACAAAACCAUCAAAUAUCGGUACCCUAUACCUAGAUUAGAUGAUAUGUUGGAUGAACUGAGUGGGUCUGUUGUGUUUUCUAAGAUUGAUCUCAGGAGUGGAUACCAUCAAGUCCGCAUGAAGGAAGGAGAUGAGUGGAAAACCGCCUUCAAGACCAAGCAAGGUCUAUACGAGUGGCUGGUGAUGCCGUUUGGCCUUACCAACGCCCCUAGCACCUUCAUGAGACUCAUGAAUGAGGUCCUCCGACCUUACAUUGGUAAAUUCGUGGUUGUAUACUUUGAUGAUAUCUUGAUUUACAGCAGGUCUUUAACUGAACACAUGGGACACCUAGAACAUGUUUUGAAAGCCUUAAGGCAAGAAGGCCUUUAUGCUAACCUUAAGAAAUGUGUAUUCUGCACUGAUCAGUUGGUAUUUUUAGGCUUUGUUGUGAGUUCACAGGGACUGAAGGUUGAUGAGGAGAAGAUCAAGGCCAUACAAGACUGGCCGACCCCGACCACGAUCGGACAUAUCCGCAACUUCCAUGGACUAGCCAGUUUCUACCGACGAUUUGUGAAGGACUUCAGUACCAUUGCCGCCCCAAUGACCUCCGUGAUCAAGAAGAAUGUAACCUUUGCUUGGGGUCCUGCCCAAGAGGAGUCUUUCAACAGGCUUAAACAUAGUUUGACACAUGCACCGGUCCUAACUCUUCCUGAUUUUGAUAAACCUUUUGAGAUUGAGUGUGAUGCUUCAGGGACAGGAAUAGGAGCCGUACUGACCCAAGGAGGCCGGCCAGUGGCUUUCUUUAGUGAGAAAUUGGAGCCGCCCUCAAUUACCCCACCUAUGAUAAAGAGCUAUAUGCUCUAGUAAGGUCACUUGAAACUUGGCAACAUUAUCUUCUGUCUAAAGAGUUUAUUAUUCAUACAGAUCACGAGACUCUUAAACACUUGAGGGGCCAGACCACACUCAAGAAGAGGCAUGCCAGGUGGCUGGAGUUUGUGGAGACUUUUCCUUAUGUGAUCAAGUACAAGAAGGGGAAGGACAACGUAGUGGCCGACGCUCUAUCCCGACGCCACACGCUCAUUACCACCAUGGAGGCCAAGAUCAUGGGUUUUGAACAACUUAAAAUGUCUUAUGAAACUGACCCUGAUUUUUCUGAGCUUUACAGUAACACGGCUAAGGGAGCCAUGGGUCCAUUCUAUCAGCAGGACGGGUUCCUCUUCAAGGAGAAGCGCCUGUGCAUUCCUCAUGGUUCCAUGCGAGACUUACUGACACGAGAAGCUCAUGGGGGCGGGUUGAUGGGGCAUUUCGGCCGAGACAAAACCCUGAGCGUCCUCUCCGACCACUUCUAUUGGCCCAGGAUGAGGCGUUACGUCGAGAGCCUAUGUGCCAAGUGCACUGUCUGUCUCAAAACCAAAUCCAGGUCGCAUCCUUAUGGUUUACACAUGCCUUUACCCAUUCCUAUUGCACCAUGGGUUGAUCUAUCUAUGGACUUUGUGCUGGGCUUGCCCAAGAUAGAACACAAGGAUUCUAUUUUUGUUGUAGUGGACAGGUUCUCCAAGAUGGCACAUUUCAUUCCGUGUUCCAAGACCAAUGAUGCCAGCCAAACCGCUGAUCUCUUCUUCAGGGAAGUGGUGCGCUUACAUGGAGUGCCACGUACCAUUGUGUCCGACCGAGACACAAAAUUCCUCAGCCACUUCUGGAGAACAUUGUGGAAGAAGCUUGGAACCAAGCUCCUCUUCUCGACCACUUGCCACCCACAGACUGAUGGUCAGACCGAGGUAGUAAACCGUACACUCUCUCAGUUGUUGAGGGCUACGGUGGGUAAGAACCUUAGAAAUUGGUUGAGUUGUUUGCCUUUCAUUGAGUUUGCUUAUAACCAUGCAAGGCACUCUAUUACUAACCUCUCCCCUUUUGAGAUCGUGUAUGGCUUUAGACCAGAGACGCCCAUGGACCUAUCCGCACUGCCCCCAGCCAUGCAAGUUAGCCAGAGUGGUGACAAAAAGGCUGAGUUUGUGAAGAACAUGCACCGACAAGUCAAGGAGACUUUGGAGAAGAAGGCUGAACGGAACCGGAUUAAGCUCAACAAGGGACGCACAGAAGUUAUCUUCCAACCAGGCGACUGGGUGUGGCUCCACAUGAGGCCAGAACGGUUUCCGGAAGAGAGGAAGAGCAAAUUAUCCCCACGAGGGGACGGACCUUUCCGAGUGCUCGACCGGAUCAAUGACAAUGCCUACCGGCUAGAGCUGCCAGGUGAGUUCCAAGUAUCCCGAACGUUCAAUGUGUCUGAUUUGUCUCCUUAUAUUGCAGAUGACGGAGAUGUUCUGAGGACAGAACCUGUUCAAGAGGGAGGGGUAGACCUUCGGAAUUUGAAGCUAGAGGUGUCAAAAAGUUACCACAGGGAUAAUGUUGUAGUACCCACGACUGAGGUUCCCAUCAUCCGCAAAGGUCCUACCACAAGGUCCGGCUCAAGGGUUAUAAGAGCUGGAUUUGCCAAAGCUGUCCAGGAGUUGCUUGCACAGGAACAAACCGGAUUCAAGCAACUAUUGAUCCAGGAGUUGGCCGACUUAAAGCUUGAAGACACCAGCGAGCCAUUAGAGGUUCCAGACUCCUUCCAUUCAAGCCAAUUCUCCUCCAUCGACCAGAAUGAAGCCGGCCUGAUCAUUUCCACCUUCAUCCUCAAUCCAUCCAACCAACUUGCUUCCGGUUCUGAGAUGUAGCCGUCCAUCAGAAGGAGUAGUAUGUGUUGUACUCUUUUUCCUUAUCGGGUUUUUUCCCACUGGGUUUUUCCGAAAGGUUUUAAUGAGGCAACAUGCAAGCAUACUAUGAGUUCUGAUCCGGACAUCUCAAGCCGCGACCGGUCUAUUGCUUUUCUUUAAUUUAUUUCGGUUAAGACUAUGGCCAUUUGUCUAGGCCUUUUUAUCUUUUAGAGUCCAUUAAGGAACAGCUAUUUAAACUCUUGUAGUAGCCAAAUUUUCGGCAAGUCUUUUUAUGAAAUCGUUUUGCUUAAGCAAAGAAACCCUAAGUCUUUCAGUUGUGAGAAACUAUUGACAGCCGUCUGACAUAUCAAAGAGCCGAUCCAUUGUUCUUUGUGGAGUCCUUCGAUCCAUCCCAUCCCUUGUCCGAUCUUGAGAGAGACACACGUCCAGCAAGAGCCGGAACCAUAUCUAUCCUUCAAACCAUCCGUUGAUCUUGUUGAGAGAGACACACGUCCAGCAACAGAUUCCAUCCGCUAUUCUUCUCUAUCUCUCUAUCCUUGUUCUUAGAUUUCAUUCAUCUUUCCUUCAAAACCCAUAAAAAUCAUAUCUUGUUCAUUUAUCAUUUGUCCAUUAGCCUCUCUGUUUCUGUUCUUGUCUCUAUCGAAAACUCACCAAAAGCUCAUAUUUGAUUCAGGUACAAUCGCCAACAAGAGACGACCCGGCCGGUACCAUCCAUCCGAGCCAAAGACUGAACCGCGGAACGACCAUCCGUCCGUCCGUCCGCCUAUCCGUCCCGUGCCUACAACAUUUUGGUAUCAGAGCUGAAGUUUCCUGCGAAACUCAGUUCUUUCUGAACCCUAGCCGUCACAAUUCCAAAAAAAAAAAAAAAAAUUUAAUUUCCUUUUUUUUUUAAAUUUUCGGAUUGUUCCCCAAGUUUUCAAUUUUCUUUCCUUAUUUUUUUAAAUUUUCGGAUUGUUCCCCAAGUUUUCGAUUUUUGUAUUUUUAAAAAAAAAAAUUAAAAGAAGUUUUACUUUCUUUCCAAGUUUUCGAAAAUCCAAAAAAAAAUAUUCCCUCUUUCCUUUUUUUAACUUGAUUCGAUUUUUACCAUAAAUUUUUGCAUUUACUCUUAGCCUUGGUCGAUACUCAAAGUAUCCGACCCAAGCAACUAUUUAACCCCCCCCCCCCUUGCCUUUUAAUCUUUCUUUGAGUUUCUUUGCAGAGAACCAUGGGAGAUGUAGGUCAAGACCAAGCGGCCAUAAACGCUCAGCUCUUAGCUGACAAUGAAGAACUGAGGGCGAGCCUUAGGACUAUCACCGCCGAGCUUGCUCAGAUACGGCAGGGAGGCAGGCCCAACGGACCUCGACCACCAGGAAGGCAUCAGCCGGACCCGCAUGACACUGACUCGGACGCGGACAGUACCGAUGAUACGCGCAGUCAGGACGAGGAGAGGCCGAACCGGGGAGGUAGGAGGAACGCGCGAGGACCCCGGGCCCAAGUAGGAGGAGGCCGCGACCAUAGGGGAGGUCGAGACCGAGAGGAGGAAGAGCCUUGGUUGGGAGGCAAGGCGCUUAAGCUUCAUCCCCCAACGUUUGCCGGCAAGGUUGAUCCGGAUGCCUACAUCGUGUGGGAGAAGCGC